rnacentral:lncRNA from 1 species
CACAUAUGGUCACAUAUUUUAAACUAUUGUUAAUUUUUGUAAAUCUGGUUGUCUUUGAUAUACAUGUAUUUUAUUUUAGAGUCAUUGAAUUCCUUUGAGGCCUAUUUUUUCCUAGUAAGAUUUAUUAUGCUGAUUAAGAAUACAUGGCACUAAAAUCAGGCUCAAGAUUGACCCACCAGAAGUGUUUAGAAUGAAGGACUCCUUAGGAAAUAACUGGAUUCUGCCACCCUUUGUUUGCCUUCCUCCUCCAUAAAAGUUGGUGUAUUCACGUGUCCUGGGUGGUGCUGUUUACCAAGACUGGUCUCCCUCAGUUUUAAUCACCAUCCUAACACUCAUUGUAUGGAGUAGCUGGGUUAGAGGAGAAUGCCUAGGGUUCAGAUGGUCUUUCU